CCAGACUCCUACGGGAGGCAGCAGUCGGGAAUAUUGCGCAAUGGAGGAAACUCUGACGCAGUGACGCCGCGUGCAGGAAGAAGGUUUUCGGAUUGUAAACUGCUUUAGACAGGGAAGAAACAAGACAGUACCUGUAGAAUAAGCUCCGGCUAACUACGUGCCAGCAGCCGCGGUAAUACGGAGGAUGCGAGCGUUAUCCGGAUUUAUUGGGUUUAAAGGGUGCGUAGGCGGACGCUUAAGUCAGCGGUAAAAUUGCGGGGCUCACCCUCGUCGAGCCGUUGAAACUGGGUGCCUUGAGUGGGCGAGAAGUACGCGGAAUGCGUGGUGUAGCGGUGAAAUGCAUAGAUAUCACGAAGAACUCCGAUUGCGAAGGCAGCUCACUGGACUGCAACUGACACUGAGGCUCGAAAGUGUGGGUAUCAAACAGGAUUAGAUACCCCCGUAGG
rnacentral:rRNA from 1 species